UACGUAGGGUGCAAGCGUUAAUCGGAAUUACUAGGCGUAAAGCGUGCGCAGGCGGUUUUGUAAGUCUGACGUGAAAUCCCCGGGCUCAACCUGGGAAUUGCGUUGGAGACUGCAAGGCUAGAGUUUGGCAGAGGGGGGUAGAAUUCCACGUGUAGCAGUGAAAUGCGUAGAUAUGUGGAGGAACACCGAUGGCGAAGGCAGCCCCCUGGGUCAAGACUGACGCUCAUGCACGAAAGCGUGGGGAGCAAACAGG
rnacentral:rRNA from 1 species